GACGAAGGGGGCUAGCGUUGCUCGGAAUGACUGGGCGUAAAGGGCGCGUAGGCGGUUUGUACAGUCAGAUGUGAAAUUCCUGGGCUCAACCUGGGGGCUGCAUUUGAUACGUAUGGACUGGAGUGAGGAAGAGGGUCGUGGAAUUCCCAGUGUAGAGGUGAAAUUCGUAGAUAUUGGGAAGAACACCGGUGGCGAAGGCGGCGACCUGGUCCUUUACUGACGCUGAGGCGCGAAAGCGUGGGGAGCAAACAGG
rnacentral:rRNA from 1 species